rnacentral:lncRNA from 10 species
GAGAGACCAUCAACACCGUGCAGGCCGGUCUGUGCUUCACAGGGCUGGCUCCUGCCUUCCUCCUUUGUGAACUCAGGGAUUCAUGGAGCUAAGCCAUCAACACCUGGCUGAGAAGUAGGGCCUCUCCACCUUCCUCCCACUCUGCUCACAAAUGGCCCUGAGGAGUGUCAGAGAUCAAAGGGGCCAGCGCCCUGGCCUUCUGCUGCUCAGCCCCAUAACUGCCCUCAGAGGACGGGAAUUCACACCUGCUGGUGGUGGAGGGGGCCCAAGGUGUGGAGGACUGUGUUGGCUGCGGCAUCAUCUGCAAAGAACUGAGACGCAGUUUCAGGACCAGACCUUUUCACUGGGGCCUAGAAUGUCAGCUCCCACAGCCACUUAAGGAAACAGAAGUAUGUGCAACAAUUUUACUCUGAAGGCCUUGGAGAAGGUUGAACAGAUGUCACUGAAGUCACAUCCCUCCUUCCUUCACUGACAGUUCCCUCCGUGGCUGACACUUAGUGCUGGGUGUCUCCUCCCACUGCCAGGAGGUACAAGCUGCCUGCAGGCUUCCACCAGAGGCAGCUGCUGACAGACAGAUGCUCACACUGCCAAGGGCAGAGAUGCUGCUCCUCUGCCAGCUGCCCCAUCUUGUCUCUCUGCCUGCCCAGGCUCUGGUGCUCACAGUUGAACUUGACAGGUUCUUUUCCAGGCUCCUCAUAAGACUUUUUCCAUCCAAUAUUCAGGCCCCCUUUCCUCCAGGAGCAACCACAGGACCCGGCCACGAGCUCAGCUCUGUUUCUGCACCUGGCAGAAUGCCUGACGUACAGCAGUUGCUUGGGAAACAAAGUUUAGCUGGUGAGUGAACAAAAAGGUGCUGCAAGGCAGUGACCCUCCUGGAUCUCUACACAGCUGCCUGAAACAAAACCCUGCAUGCACCCUGCAAGAGAAUUCUGAAAACCUGGAGCCCACCACACACACACAGAAAUAAAACUCCUCUGCUUGUGCCCCUAAGAGAAUUCUUAAAACUAGGAAGCACCCCCAUUUUGAAAUAAAACUCUGCUUCACUCCCUAAGAGAAUUCUUAUAACUGGGAACCUAGGAACCCCCUCCUAGGUGGGUUCCUAGCGUAGCAUGUGGCUGAAUUCUACACUGUAAAUGUGCUGAGUGCGGCCGAAUUCUACACUGUAAAUGUGCUGAGUGCGGCCGAAUUCUACACUGUAAAUGUGCUGAGUGUGGCCGAAUUCUACACUAUAAAUGUGUUACAUGUGUCUGAAUUUUAUCCUUUGAAAUGGUUAAUGUUAUGUUUCUUUAAUUUCACCUCAAUAAAAAAUUCAUUUAAAAAAAUAUAUUGUGACCGUAAGCCACUAAUUUUGUGUUUUUUAAAUUUUUGCCAUGGAUCCCUUUGGUGAUCUGGUGAAACCCAUAGACCUCUUCUCAGAAUAAUGUCCUUAAAUGCAGAAAGUAAAAUACACAAGAUCAAAAAGGAAAACAAGUGUACCAAAAUACACCCAUCAAAUGAGCUUAAUCAUGGUACAGUCACACAUGUGCCUCUUUAACACAUCGUGCUGGUAUGAUAGAUACCGGUUUUCGUACAAGGCUCCUGGCUCAUAACUCCCACGCCUCUUGUUACAGUCUUUUGUUAUAACCUUGGCUGUGUUAGGUCUCAGGGGCAGCCUCUGACCUCUUGC